AAGUUCGGGCCUUUGGAAGGUUUUGGGGCUUUCCGUUCUUGUGGGGUUAAAGUCCCCUUUAGCCAACCCUGUUUACCGGUGUGUGAACCAGAGUCCCGAGAGGUAAUUUGGGACAGGUAUUCCAGUCCUUUGGGGGGUCGGCAGGGGGGAAACUUUACAAUGCGGCAAACCGCUAUAAAGAGACACUGAGUGCCAGCACCAUGUGCUGGCUGUCCGCAUGUAUAAAUCACAUUGUCAGCAAGGGCCGGGCAAGACCGGUGCCAGCCGCCGCUGUAACACCGGCGGGCCAAGUGGUGGCCAUUAUUAUUGGGUCUAAAGGGUCCGUAGCCAGUUUGAUCGGUCUUCCGGGAAAUCUGACAGCUCAUCUGUUAGGCUUCUGGCGGAUACUGUCAUACUUGUAACCGGCAGACGUAAGAGGUACUACAGGGGUAGGAUUGAAAUCUUGUAAUCCUUGUGGGACCACCAGUGGCGAACGCGUCUUACCACAACGGGUUCGACGGUGAGGGACAAAAGCUGGCGGCACUAACCGGAUUAUAUACCCGGGAACUCCCAGCCGUAAACGAUGCUCGCUAGGUGUCUAGAAUGGUGCGACCGUGUCAGGUGCGGCAGAGAAACCGUGAAGCGAGCCACCUGGGAAGUACGUCCGCAUGUCUGAAACUUAAAGGAAUCGACGUGGGAGCAGUACAACGGGUGGAGCGUGCGGUUUAAUUGGACUGAACGCCGGAAAACUCACCUGGGGCGACAGCAAUAUGUAGGUCAGGCUGAAGGUCUUACCUGAAUCGCUGAGAGGAGGUGCAUGGCCGUUGUCAGUUCGUCCUGUGAAGCAUCCUGUUAAGUCAGGCAACGAGCGAGACCUGUGCCCACGGUUGCCAGCAUAUCCUUCGGGAUGAUGGGUACUCUGUGGGGACCGCCGAUGCUAAAUAGGAGGAAGGUGCGGGCUACGGUUGUUCAGUAUGCUCUGAAUCUUCAGGGUUACACGCGGGGUACAAUGACCGGGACAAUGGGUCCCUACCCCGAAAGGGGUUCGUAAUCUCAUACACCCGUCUUUAGUUGGGAUGGGGGUCUGCAACUCGCCCUAGUGAAGCUGUGAAUCCGUAUGACUGCGUUUCAAUAUAGCUGCGGGAAUACGUCCGUGCUCCUGGCACACUCCGCCCGUCAAACCAGCCCGAUGAGCUAUGGGUGAGGGCACGGAUUCACUCCGUGUUCGUACCUAAAUUUUGCAAGGGGGGUU
rnacentral:rRNA from 1 species